rnacentral:rRNA from 1 species
GACGAACGCUUGCGGCGUGCUUAACACAUGCAAGUCGAACGGAAAGGCCCUGCUUUUGUGGGGUGCUCGAGUGGCGAACGGGUGAGUAACACGUGAGUAACCUGCCCUUGACUUUGGGAUAACUUCAGGAAACUGGGGCUAAUACCGGAUAGGAGCUCCUGCUGCAUGGUGGGGGUUGGAAAGUUUCGGCGGUUGUGGAUGGACUCGCGGCUUAUCAGCUUGUUGGUGGGGUAGUGGCUUACCAAGGCUUUGACGGGUAGCCGGCCUGAGAGGGUGACCGGCAACAUUGGGACUGAGAUACGGCCCAGACUCCUACGGGCGGCAGCAGUGGGGAAUCUUGCACAAUGGGCGGAAGCCUGAUGAAGCAACGCCGCGUGCGGGAUGACGGCCUUCGGGUUGUAAACCGCUUUCGCAUGUGACGAAGCGUGAGUGACGGUAAUGGGUAAAGAAGCACCGGCUAACUACGUG